UACGUAGGGGGCAAGCGUUGUCCGGAUUUAUUGGGCGUAAAGAGCGUGUAGGCGGCCACACAGGUCAGCUGUGAAAACUCGAGGCUCAACCUCGAGACGUCGGUUGAAACCGUAUGGCUAGAGUCCGGAAGAGGAGAGUGGAAUUCCCGGUGUAGCGGUGAAAUGCGCAGAUAUCGGGAAGAACACCCGUGGCGAAGGCGGCUCUCUGGGACGGUACUGACGCUGAGACG
rnacentral:rRNA from 1 species